CUAAAUGCGCAAAGUUGCAAGUUCUCCCGUUGCCUGGUGUGCGUGGCAAGGGAGCCCUGGUCGUCGCCACCGAACUGCAGCUGGAUCUGGUGCUAAAGUGCUGCAGCAAACGCGCAAGUGCGGUUAGCAUGGCACGGGGGCUUCGCAUGGCGCGCUUCCAGACUACUCCCACAUACUCACGAGAAGCCAUGUUGCUAACUGCAGACCUGGCCGCGCGUGUGCACGAGUUUGAGGCGCUCUUCGGGGGGCGUAUACGCAGUGCCUUCAGAGCAGUUGCAGAGCGAGGUGUGUCAUAGCGCGACGAUGCGAAAGCAAGACGAUGCGAAUGCACACAUGUUUGCCGAAGCAUUAACUUACCAUCAUUGCUCCGCGUACAGGCCGCCACGAGGACUUGCCAGGGCCAUCCAGUGCAGGCCGCGAUGUUGCAGGUGCGUAACAUGGCACAACUGUGCAGUUUGCUAUCUAUCUUUCCGGGACCCGGGCUGUCACGCAGGGCCGCAGACUGAUAACGACAACGAAGUCAAUAUCGGGUCGUGAGGCAUGGGUGAAUUAACCAGCUUUUGCGACGGCAGAACGAGUGCACAAUUUGCAUAUCAGGAUGUUACCGCUGUCCCAUUGUUAUUUUGCCUAUGCAGGGCGGAAUGCCGGUGCUGGGCCUUCCACUGCUGGGCUUUCCACAGC
rnacentral:lncRNA from 1 species